AUAAAUAACCUAAUCUGAUUUGCGCAACUAUGUGGCCUCACUGAUAGAUAUCCAUGGCUCUUAAUAAAUUCCGUUGCUCCCGGGUUCACAUGCUCUCGUCGUCACAGUCUGCGCAGACGUGGCAAUACGGUAGUGUUUCGGGUGGGGGCGGCUUUGAUGAAUGAGACGAUGUGAAGCAUCCAUCCAUCCAGCCUUUUACAAUCUUGAUGAUGUGAUGCGCAGGUGGUCCAGCUCACACCGGAGCCUUGGAGUAUAAUCCCCGCAUCUCUUUAAGCAUAGCAGCCCAGCAUUCCCGUCUGAACAGAUGUGUGGAGAAAAAGAA
rnacentral:lncRNA from 7 species